UACAAACAAAGCUUGCUCCUUCCUUGUGCGGUUUUGUGUGUGUGCAACCGUGUGGAAGCUUAUGCAACUGCCAGUUGCAUGCAACAAAAUCAAAAUCAAAGUGUUUCGUGGCUAUUCAGCUAAAUAAUUUGAUGAUCCCAUCCCGCCACCACCCCCGCUGCUGGUUUAUCAAUUCAAUUUCGCUUUUCGGCUAUUCUUUACUUGUGGGUGGAAUGUGGAAACCCAAUUAAAGCCAAAAAGCCAGCCAACUCUUCAAGUCAAAGUCGAAGUCAAGUCCUAUGCCGCAGCCCAUGCCCUGGCCAUGCCCUGCCCAUGCCCAACCCAGGACCGACCCAUCCCAUCCAGUCGCGUUCGGCUCAGUUCUGCUCUGUCCUGUCGGCUGCCUGGGCUGCCCCCGGGGGAAGUUCUUGCCUCAAAUAACCUCGGGCCAUGGCAAAGAACCGCCAACAAUGCCAAAGCAACAACAAAAAGACAAAUACGAGGCCAAAACGAAAAUAAAAAGCAACAACAACUGCAUUUUAGUUUCGCCAUCCCAAAAAGGCUGCCAGCAAUGGAUGCACUGAGAGAAGCGGCAUGAAAUGAGCUCAGAAUAUCUAGAAGGAGAUAAUAAGGAUGAAUAAUUACUAAAUAAAAAGGCCACGCAUUUUCUACAAAAUAAACUAAGUUCUAGGAGGAUUAGAUGAUAUUUUAAGAUGAAUAGAAGACCGUUAAAAAGCUGCAGCUAGGUGUAAGUCCUUGCUUUUCUCUCAGUGCCGUGCCUCCUUAUGUACUGCGGCUUAUGUACUCAGUGCGGAACAGCCAAGUUGAAGGAGUUACGGAUGCGAAGCAUCCACUGCAGCAGAAUCUGAAGCUGACGCUGACGCUGACGCUGACGUCGCGUCGACGCUCUUUCUGUACGACGACUGUACGAAAAAGCGUGGCUGCGUGAAAAGGUGGCCUGCGGCGGGCAGAAACAGCGACAGAGGCAGCAGCAGCUCCGGCGUUCGUGCGCUUCGCUGUACUAAUGUUGCCCCAGGACUUAGACGCUUUGUAGAGUAGUGAGCAGCGGCAGGAGCCGGAGAGCGGGAGAGCGGGAGACAGGGACAGAGUUGAAGGAGCGCCCGGAGCGAUCUCCAGGAGAGGCGGAGGCAGCAUCGCCCGAGGAUUCGCGCCUGCGCAUCCCACAAAAAGCUGCAGCUGCAACACAAUUCCGUUUUAAUUUCAGAUUAAUGUGAACAAUUGGGAAAAGUUGCAGGUGACUUAUCAUUCUAAUCGAGGAAUGAAUCUACUCAGAAUGAUCUGUUAAUCAUUCCAGAGUAGGAGCUUGUCUUCGAUGAUGGAUGCCGUUGAAGUCUUCGUCAACUGCCAUUGCCACAGCUCUGUGGUCUAUUUUUCUAAUAAAUGGGAAAUAUUCAUUUAAAAUAGUCUCUUAGAACUUGAAUAACACAGGCCAGGCCGCUGCUUCAUUCGUGGCCGAAUAUUUUGUGUAAAAUAUUUAUAAAUGAAUAUUUUUCGGCGGAAGUGUUGAAAUUGGAAUCGCGCUCCAACGCCUCUACGCCGCUUCGGCCGGCCCCACCGAAUCUAU
rnacentral:lncRNA from 1 species